UCGCUAGUAAUCGCGGAUCAGCAUGCCGCGGUGAAUACGUUCCCGGGCCUUGUACACACCGCCCGUCACACCAUGAGAGUCGGGAACACCCGAAGUCCGUAGCCUAACCGCAAGGAGGGCGCGGCCGAAGGUGGGUUCGAUAAUUGGGGUGAAGUCGUAACAAGGUAUC
rnacentral:rRNA from 1 species